GGUGGCUCAGUGGUAGAGCUCUUGCCUUGCAUGCAUGAGGCCCUUGGUUCGAUUCCUCAGCACCA
rfam:Dipodomys ordii ctg_broad_rename0002216, whole genome shotgun sequence.